AGAAAACAACUUUAUGUAUAAAAGAAACCCUAGUCCUUUCUCUGUCGAUAUCCAUAACAAUCCAUUUUGCUAUUUGCACCCUCCUUUUCCAACCACAAUCACCGCCUCACUUCAAUCCAUUUUGCUAUUUGCACCCUCCUUUUCCAACCACAAUCACCGCCUCACUUCACUACUACUACUACUACUACUACUCCUAUUUCUUCUUCUUCUUCUCGAUCGCUGAGCAAAGGAACAAUACAUAUAGCUACAACGAUUCUUCAAAGGGAGUGAAAUCCAAAAUCAGAGAGAAAGAGAUAGCGACUUUGUUUUUAUUUAUUUAUUCAUUUAUUUAUUUAUUUAUCUUCUUUUUCUAUAAUUUUCAUUUUGAGAAAAAAUAGAAAGUGCUGAAUCUGUUUCUGUUUUUGGGAUCCUUCUUGGCUUUGGAUUCAACGGACUUCUCAGAUUUGCCAAUUAGACUGAAAUUAGGGUUUCUGUUUGUAGGUAUUCUUCUUUCUCCUUCCAUUAUAGGAUCUUGUCUUCUUUUUUAUUUUUAUUUUUUAUGUGCGAAUUAUAAAUAUCUUUUGUACGAAUCAGCGACGAAAAACACGUGGCAGUAGAUAUUUUCACAUUAUUUAGAUAUUUUUUGUAAAAAUAAAUAAAUGUUAAUGUUAAAAUCUUUCAAAAAUAUAUCUUAAGAAUGUGAAGGCAGUGCAAUAGUUUUACUAUAAAUCAUUAAUAAUUUAUAAUUGUAUUAAUAAUCAACAAUCCAUACAUUGUAUUCAGUUUUUUAUAACCGGAUGAAAUUGUAUUCAGUUUCAGAUUGACAGGAUGAUUAAACUAUG
rnacentral:lncRNA from 1 species